rnacentral:rRNA from 1 species
GAUGAACGCUGGCGGCGUGCUUAACACAUGCAAGUCGAACGAAGCACCUUGAUUCGAUUCUUCGGAUGAAGAUCUUGGUGACUGAGUGGCGGACGGGUGAGUAACGCGUGGGUAACCUGCCUCAUACAGGGGGAUAACAGUUAGAAAUGACUGCUAAUACCGCAUAAGACCACAGCACCGCAUGGUGCAGGGGUAAAAACUCCGGUGGUAUGAGAUGGACCCGCGUCUGAUUAGGUAGUUGGUGGGGUAACGGCCUACCAAGCCGACGAUCAGUAGCCGACCUGAGAGGGUGACCGGCCACAUUGGGACUGAGACACGGCACAAACUCCUACGGGAGGCAGCAGUGGGGAAUAUUGCACAAUGGGGGAAACCCUGAUGCAGCGACGCCGCGUGAGCGAUGAAGUAUUUCGGUAUGUAAAGCUCUAUCAGCAGGGAAGAAAAUGACGGUACCUGACUAAGAAGCACCGGCUAAAUACGUG